UACGGGGGGGGCAAGCGUUGUUCGGAAUUACUGGGCGUAAAGGGCGCGUAGGCGGCCGGAUAAGUAGGCGGUGAAAGCCCCGGGCUUAACUUGGGGAGUGCCGUCUAAACUGUCUGGCUGGAGUGCGGGAGAGGGAAGUGGAAUUCCUGGUGUAGCGGUGAAAUGCGUAGAUAUCAGGAGGAACACCGGUGGCGAAGGCGGCUUCCUGGACCGCAACUGACGCUGAGGCGCGAAAGCUAGGGGAG
rnacentral:rRNA from 1 species